UUGGCAAUGCACAAGUCAUGUCUUCUCUGACUGUUCAUGACGUUAAAAUACUAAAUCCCUGGGAUGGGUUUUAGUUGAUUUUAGUCUCUGAUGCAUGAUUUUUUUAUUAUUAAUUGUUUUUGACUUUUAACUAGCUGUCAGUAACUGCGAGUACUCUCAAAUCGUAUUUUCGUGUUAAUUCGACCUGUUAAUACUGUUUAUAAUGCUUUUUUGUUAUUUUAUAUUAAUAUAGAUCUUGUCUAUAUACCAGCUUUGAUUAUUUGGAAUAUCUUCUAAUUUUCAC
rnacentral:lncRNA from 1 species